GGCGCACGGGUGAGUAAUGUAUAGCUAAUCUGCUCUACACUAGAGGACAACAGUUGGAAACGACUGCUAAUACUCUAUACUCCUCUCUAGCAUAAGUUAGAUAGGGAAAGUUUUUCGGUGUAGGAUGAGGCUAUAUUGUAUCAGCUAGUUGGUGAGGUAAUGGCUCACCAAGGCUAUGACGCAUAACUGGUCUGAGAGGAUGAUCAGUCACACUGGAACUGAGACACGGUCCAGACUCCUACGGGAGGCAGCAGUAGGGAAUAUUGCUCAAUGGGGGAAACCCUGAAGCAGCAACGCCGCGUGGAGGAUGACACUUUUCGGAGCGUAAACUCCUUUUGUUAGGGAAGAACAAUGACGGUACCUAACGAAUAAGCACCGGCUAACUCCGUGCCAGCAGCCGCGGUAAUACGGAGGGUGCAAGCGUUACUCGGAAUCACUGGGCGUAAAGGACGCGUAGGCGGAUUAUCAAGUCUCUUGUGAAAUCCUAUGGCUUAACCAUAGAACUGCUUGGGAAACUGAUAAUCUAGAGUGAGGGAGAGGCAGAUGGAAUUGGUGGUGUAGGGGUAAAAUCCGUAGAGAUCACCAGGAAUACCCAUUGCGAAGGCGAUCUGCUGGAACUCAACUGACGCUAAUGCGUGAAAGCGUGGGGAGCAAAC
rnacentral:rRNA from 1 species